UAUAUGACGUGCGCGUAUGUGGUCACUACCAAGUCCUCGAUAACUAAAAACCCGUGCAAUUUACUUUUAUACUGACCGCCAAACCGGUUACCGGCAAUAGUAUACAACUAAUACAAAAUCUCCUUUAAAAAAAUAAUGCUCAAUCUUUCAAAUACCUUCCGCAUAACGAUCAUAAAUUGCUUCUUUUUAUCAUUGUUUUUAUCAUUUGGUUUGAAAUGAUUAUUGUUUCAUUAAAUCAUUUGUUGCUUAGAAUGGUAGAUAUUUCAAAUAAAUAGUUGCUUUGGUUCGAGUCUGGUAUCUGGAAUGAGUUUUGGCAAUGAAAUGUUAUUGUGUCAACGUAGAGCAUUUGCUAUUGUGCUUAUAAUAUUCUAGGUUGCAAAAUGUUAGAAUUCAGUGUAUCAAAAAGUAAAAUCACAAAAAUACUGAACUUAGAGGAAAAUCGAUUCGGAAAGUCCAUAAUCACAUGGCAAAAUCAAAUAACAAAACGCAUCAAAAACGAAUGGACAAGAGCUGUCAUAUUCCUGACUUGGUAAAGGCAUUUUCAAAUGUAGAAAAUGGUGGGUUAAACCUGGUUUUAUAGCGCUAACCCUCUCACUUUACAACAUAUUAGGUCAAAUAUAUUUGGAUGAAACAAGAAUCUACCACAUAUUGCUCAGUCGCUUUAUAUUACAAUUAGUGGUUUAAGAUAUGUUCUAGACGGAUAUGACACCGAACCUGACAAAUACUGUGGUUGAAAUUAUACAACAUUUGAUGUAAAAAUCAGUCAUCAAUUUAUUUUUGAACUGAACUGAAGAUCGAUAGGUAUGCAAAAAUGAAGAAUAUAACCAUAAUCUCAGUAGCUGUUAUAUGCCUUUCUAUGAUGGUAUCAGGAAGAACGAUCGCAAUUCGACACCGUAGGGAAUGUGACUCGUGCAAUAUGCGCUUUAAUAGGAACUGUAUCAAUCGACCGUGUCCAUACGCAUCUUUCAAUGACCGGUCUUCCAUCUUCAGAGCGAUCUGUGUCACAGACUGCGCAAGUCGAUGGAGCCAGUGUGAUGUGCAUUGUAAACGUUGGACAAAAUAAUAUCUCGUGUCCAAACUGUUGUUUUGCAUCACUGAAGGCACAAUAGUGUCGAA